rnacentral:rRNA from 1 species
UGGGGAAUUUUGGACAAUGGGGGCAACCCUGAUCCAGCCAUACCGCGUGAGUGAAGAAGGCCUUCGGGUUGUAAAGCUCUUUCAGCCGGAAAGAAAUUGCUUCUAUUAAUACUAGGAGUAGAUGACGGUACCGGCAGAAGAAGCACCGGCUAACUACGUGCCAGCAGCCGCGGUAAUACGUAGGGUGCGAGCGUUAAUCGGAAUUACUGGGCGUAAAGGGUGCGCAGGCGGUUUUGUAAGCCAGAUGUGAAAUCCCCGGGCUCAACCUGGGAACUGCAUUUGGGACUGCAAGGCUAGAGUACGGCAGAGGGAGGUAGAAUUCCACGUGUAGCAGUGAAAUGCGUAGAUAUGUGGAGGAAUACCGAUGGCGAAGGCAGCCUCCUGGGUCGAUACUGACGCUCAUGCACGAAAGCGUGGGGAGCAAACAGGAUUAGAUACCCUGGUAGUCCACGCCCUAAACGAUGUCAACUAGGUGUUGGGGAAGGAGACUUCUUUAGUACCGCAGCUAACGCGAUAAGUUGACCGCCUGGGGAGUACGGUCGCAAGAUUA